GCGACCGUAGCUCAGUUGGUAGAGCACCGGGUUGUGAUCCUGGAUGUCGCGGGUUCGAGCCCCGUCGGUCGCC
rnacentral:tRNA from 2 species